rnacentral:rRNA from 1 species
CUUUGGUUUUAUUUUGUUGGUUUUGGAGACCAAAGUAAUGAUGAAUAGGGGCAGUCGUGGGCAUUAGUAUUUUGAAGUCAGAGGUGAAAUUCUUGGAUUUUCAAAAGACUAACUAAAGCGAAAGCAUUUGCCAAGGAUGUUUUCAUUGAUCAGGAACGAAAGUUAAGGGAUCGAAGUCGAUUAGAUACCGUCGUAGUCUUAACCAUAAACUAUGCCGACUAAGGAUCGGUGGAAGUCAAAUGACUCCAUCGGCACUUUAUGAGAAAUCAAAGUUUUUAGGCUCUGGGGGGAGUAUGGUCGCAAGGCUGAAACUUAAAGGAAUUGACGGAAGGGCACCACCAGGAGUGGAGCCUGCGGCUUAAUUUGACUCAACACGGGGAAACUCACCAG